GAUCAUGCUGAGGCUUCCGGGGUGUUUUGGACAUCAUCAUCAACCUCCGUAGUAUAGACGGUACCUCAGUUCAUGAGACAAACACAGGAGAGAUUACGUUGACUCUUACGGCAGUUUUAAUUAUUUCUAGUAAGUAAUUUAACACACAUCUAUUUAUUAUGUCUUAUCCUUUAUAAUUACAUUUUUUAAAAAUAAAUCUAAAGUUUUAUCCUUAUUAUGCAUUCCUAUUGCUGUUAUGCUUGUCCUGCUUUUUAAAUAUUAUAAACGCACGCAUCGUCCUACACGCUCUGCAUCAAUACAAUUAGAGACUAUAUAUAAAUCAACUACAGUUUAACUUCAUUCAUUCAUUCGUAUAUACGACUUUUUUUGUAGGUGUUUUGUCAUUCGUCGUUCUGUUUGGUAUGUGUCUCUGUUUGUGUUUUUGUCGUCGUUGUCGCGGUUCCCCUCCUCCCCCUGGUGAUAUCGAAAUGAACUACCAUCACCUGCCCUUGUCUGGAGAGGGGGACGGCGACUCUGUCGUGUCUGAUAUGUCUGAUGUGGAGUUCCAUCGUCCUAAGAAUGAUAAAAUGUCUUAUUUUUUUUGUACAUUGUUUUUCCUUAAUAGUUGUCCUUUUUUGUCCGUGUUUUGUUUAUGAUGUCCCGCGUCUGAGGAGCAGGAGGCUUAGGAGGUAGGGAGGCGUCCCUACCGAAACCCAAGGUUGCCCACCUGUGCAAGCACACGGGUGCUCAGACGCCAUUAAUUUUCUUUUAUAUAUAUAUAUACUUUAUGACGUCAUAAUAACGACGUCAACGUUUGUUAUUUCUGUUAUAAUUUGAAAUCCACUGAAGAGCCGA